rnacentral:rRNA from 1 species
ACACGUGCAUGCUUAGUACGGCGAGUGAAGCGGCAAAAGCUCAAAUUUGAAAUCUGGCACCUUCGGUGUCCGAGUUGUAAUUUGAAGAAGGUAACUUUGGAGUUGGCUCUUGUCUAUGUUCCUUGGAACAGGACGUCACAGAGGGUGAGAAUCCCGUGCGAUGAGAUGCCCAAUUCUAUGUAAAGUGCUUUCGAAGAGUCGAGUUGUUUGGGAAUGCAGCUCUAAGUGGGUGGUAAAUUCCAUCUAAAGCUAAAUAUUGGCGAGAGACCGAUAGCGAACAAGUACAGUGAUGGAAAGAUGAAAAGAACUUUGAAAAGAGAGUGAAAAAGUACGUGAAAUUGUUGAAAGGGAAGGGCUUGAGAUCAGACUUGGUAUUUUGCGAUCCUUUCCUUCUUGGUUGGGUUCCUCGCAGCUUACUGGGCCAGCAUCGGUUUGGAUGGUAGGAUAAUGACUAAGGAAUGUGGCUCUACUUCGGUGGAGUGUUAUAGCCUUGGUUGAUACUGCCUGUCUAGACCGAGGACUGCGUCUUUUGACUAGGAUGUUGGCAUAAUGAUCUUAAGCCACCCGUCUGAACACCGGGACCCAAAAGUUUUGGUGUGUGGUUGAACAAUAAUUUUAAAAAAA